AGCGAACGCUGGCGGCAGGCCUAACACAUGCAAGUCGAACGGACCCUUCGGGGUUAGUGGCGGACGGGUGAGUAACACGUGGGAACGUGCCUUUAGGUUCGGAAUAGCUCCUGGAAACGGGUGGUAAUGCCGAAUGUGCCCUUCGGGGGAAAGAUUUAUCGCCUUUAGAGCGGCCCGCGUCUGAUUAGCUUGUUGGUGGGGUAAUGGCCCACCAAGGCUACGAUCAGUAGCUGGUCUGAGAGGAUGACCAGCCACAUUGGGACUGAGACACGGCCCAAACUCCUACGGGAGGCAGCAGUGGGGAAUCUUGCGCAAUGGGCGAAAGCCUGACGCAGCCAUGCCGCGUGUAUGAUGAAGGUCUUAGGACUGUAAAAUACUUUCACCGGUGAAGAUAAUGACUGUAGCCGGAGAAGAAGCCCCGGCUAACUUCGUGCCAGCAGCCGCGGUAAUACGAAGGGGGCUAGCGUUGCUCGGAAUUACUGGGCGUAAAGGGAGCGUAGGCGGACAUUUAAGUCGA
rnacentral:rRNA from 1 species